AGUGAACGCUGGCGGUAGGCCUAACACAUGCAAGUCGAACGGCAGCACAGUAAGAGCUUGCUCUUACGGGUGGCGAGUGGCGGACGGGUGAGGAAUACAUCGGAAUCUACUUUUCGUGGGGGAUAACGUAGGGAAACUUACGCUAAUACCGCAUACGUCCUACGGGUGAAAGCAGGGGAUCUUCGGACCUUGCGCGAUUGAAUGAGCCGAUGUCGGAUUAGCUAGUUGGCGGGGUAAAGGCCCACCAAGGCGACGAUCCGUAGCUGGUCUGAGAGGAUGAUCAGCCACACUGGAACUGAGACACGGUCCAGACUCCUACGGGAGGCAGCAGUGGGGAAUAUUGGACAAUGGGCGCAAGCCUGAUCCAGCCAUACCGCGUGGGUGAAGAAGGCCUUCGGGUUGUAAAGCCCUUUUGUUGGGAAAGAAAAGCAGCAGGUUAAUACCCCGCUGUUCUGACGGUACCCAAAGAAUAAGCACCGGCUAACUUCGUG
rnacentral:rRNA from 1 species